ACCAAGAGAAUAAGCAUGGAAUUAUUUUGACAGGUCCUUGGCUAUGAUAAAGAUAUUGGCCCUAAUGGGGAACUACAGUACAGCAUCAAAUCUGGUCGAGGCAUAGGGAAGUUCAAAAUCCAUCCAAAAACUGGCAUUGUUUACUCACAGCGUGGGUUCACAGCAGGACAGGAAUAUGAUUUAAGGAUUCGAGCUCAAGAUAAUGGCCAGCCACAGCGCAGUCAUGCAAUUCGUGUGGCAGUUCAGGUGGCUUCAGUACCUCGAGAAUCACCGCACCCACCACAAGUGAAGCUUCCUAAUCAGCAUGUCGAGAUCACAGAGAGUGAUGCGGUGGGGUAUCUAGUUGCGCUUAUCCAAGCUUCUGAUGACGAUGGAGACUUGCUGUGGUUUAAUAUUGUGGGUAAGCAACCGCAGCAACACCUGUAGCUAACCACCUUUGUUUUAACAAUUUGUAUUGAGGAGUUUGUGUUGUCACCGAGAGAGAAUACCAACACGCUGUGGUUUGAGCAUUAAAGCGUGUAUAUGAGAAAAAAAUUAAGAAAAGAAUAUAAUACAAGAAAAGAUU